rnacentral:rRNA from 1 species
CGGCAGCCCGAGUGGUGAUCACUAUUAUUGGGUCUAAAGGGUCCGUAGCCGGUUUAAUCAGUCUUCUGGGAAAUCUAAUCGCUUAACUAUUAGGCUUCCAGGGGAUACUGUUAGACUUGGGACCGGGAGAGGUAAGAGGUACUGCAGGGGUAGGAGUGAAAUCUUGUAAUCCCUGUGAGACCACCAGUGGCGAAGGCGUCUUACCAGAACGGGUCCGACGGUGAGGGACGAAAGCUGGGGGCACGAACCGGAUUAGAUACCCGGGUAGUCCCAGCUGUAAACGAUGCUCGUUAGGUGUCAGGAACGGUGCGACUGUUUCUGGUGCCGAAGGGAAGCCGUGAAACGAGCCACCUGGGAAGUACGGCCGCAAGGCUGAAACUUAAAGGAAUUGGCGGGGGAGCACUACAACGGGUGGAGCCUGCGGUUUAACUGGACUCAACGCCGGAAAACUCACCGGGGGCGACAGCAAUAUGUAGGUCAGGUUAAAGGUCUUACCUGAAUCGCUGAGAGGAGGUGCAUGGCCGUCGUCAGUUCGUACUGUGAAGCAUCCUGUUAAGUCAGGCAACGAGCAAGACCCGUGCCCACUGUUACCAGCAUAUCCUUUAUGGAUGAUGGGGACUCUGUGGGGACCGCUGCUGCUAAAGCAGAGGAAGGUGCGGGCUACGGUAGGUCAGUAUGCCCCGAAUCUCCCGGGCUACACGCGGGCUACAAUGGUUGGGACAAUGGGUAUCUACUCCGAAAGGAGUUGGCAAUCUCUUAAACCCAAUCGUAGUUCGAAUUGAGGGCUGUAACUCGCCCUCAUGAAGCUGGAAUCCGUAGUAAUCGCGUUUCAACAUA